AGUGCCCUUAUGAAGAAAUUAUGAAAGCUUACUCUCUAGCUUGCUCUCUCUCUCUCUCUGCCUGCUACAGGAGGAUACCCCAAGAAGACAGCUGUCUGCAAACCAGGAAGAAGCCCUUUACUAGACACUGGAUCUGCUGGUGCCUUGAGCUUGAACUUCCUAGCCUAAAACUAGAAGAUCAGAAUAUCAGCCAUGGCUGUGAGUGAAGUGAUGGGGUCUAGCUUUUAGAGAGGAGGAACAGAAAAUGAGGUAAGUGCAAAAUACAGUCAUGGCACAGAGGAGGGAAUAUUUGAACCGGGUUUCAGAGGUGGAAGGAAGGUAUCAGUCAUUCAGGGGAAAAGAAUAUUAAAGGAAGAGAUUUGAUUUUCUCUUUUCACCAGAAUUCCCAGAUAGAUUUAAAAUUAAUUGUACAAAAAAUAAGAAAACUAAAAUAGAAGAAAAUACAAAUGUACAUUGAAUUGGGGUUCUCCAGAGAAACAGAACCAGAAGGUUAUUUAUUUAUUUAUGUUGAAGAAUUGGUUCAGGCAAUUAUAGAGGCUGAGAAAUCUCAAAAUCUGCAGUCAGCAAGCUGGAGACCCAGGAGACUUAAGGGUAUAGCUCCAGUCUAAGUCUGAAGGCAAGAGAAGACCUAUAUUCCAGCUUGAAGACAGUCAGAAAGAAAGAACAACUUCUUACUCGACCAUUUGUUCUAUUCAGGCUUUCAGAGGAUUGGGUGAGAAUGCUAACAUUGGAAAGGGUAAUCUGCUUUACUCAAAUGUUAAUUUCAUUCAGAAACAAACUAGCAGAUAGACCCAAAAUCGUGUUUAAUCAAAUAUCUGGGCACCCCAUGGCUAGUCAAGCUGACACACAAAGGUAAUCAUCACAUACAUUAAACUCAUUUGAAAUGGCCAUGAACUUUCUAAGCAUAAAUUCAAUGAAAGAAAACUCAGAACAUAUUUCAACCACAUAAAAAUACAAUCUUUUUUGUAUGUUUAUGUGGUUGAAGUAGUGUUCUCCAAACACCAUAAAAAACAUAAAUAUUAAUUGUCAAAUGUGGAAAAAUGCAAUAUAUAUGGCAAAGCAUAGAUAUCUUCACUAUAUAAAUUUUAUAAAACAUCAGGAAAAACACAGAUACCUCAAUAGAAAACAAGAAAGAAAGUUAACUUAUAGAAAAAGAAGUUCAAAUAUGAUUUCCCACAGUAGAAAUAAAUGAAACAUGAGUUAAACACAAAUUUUGUCAAUUUGGCAAAUUUUAAUAGCAUCAUUAUUAGUGUUAGUAAGAUUAUAAACAAAGUUCUAUGCCGCACGUGCCACGUGUGGGAGUUAAUUUUGUACAGUUUGUUAAAUUAGCAAUUUGUCCUCUUAGGUUCAAUUCAAGUUUAAAAUUUUUGUUAAAAAAUUCAGAGAAAUAUGUAAAAUAAUGAAAAUUAAAACACCCAAAAUGUCUGACAACACAGGAUCUGUUAAGUAAGCCAGUUACCUCUAAGAGAAAAGAAUAUUAGAUAACUCUUGCAAGAUGUAUUUUGGUAACUAUUUACUGCAUGGGAAAAGUCUCCAGAGAAACAAUUAAGUAGAAAAACAGAGGGGAAAAAACUAUAUUUUUGUAAAAGACACACACAGAAACACAACAAAGCACUGAAAGGACCUCACUGAAACAAGAGUAAGUUUACGAGGGAUUUUAAUAUUCUUCCAUAUAUUCUAUAUUUUUAACUUUUAUAAUCAUGAAUUUAAUAUUUUGAAGUUUAACUUUUAAAUAAAGUCAAUAUGCAUACUGAAAAAUGAACAAAUCACAAAUGAACAGCUGGGUGAAAUUUUAUAAACUUGAACACAUUCUUGUAACUACUCCCCAGACAAAGAAAUAGCUCACUAUUUGCAUUCUCCCGGUAUCUAUCUUGGGAUAGCUAUUUUUACUUACUUUUACCUGAUUCUGAAGUCUGUGUAAGUGGAACACAUAGUAUCUCACUCAUUAUGUUUGACUUCUUUUGCUUUAGUUUUUGCUUGUGAGGUUCAUUCUUCUUGUGGGCAGCAGUAUUUUGUUUUGUCUCUCAUUAUUAUAUAAUGUUCCUUGCAUAAAUAUACCACUAUUAAUUUAUUUUUUUCCAUUAUUGAUAGGGGUUUUGGCUAUAUUUUUCAAUGUGUCUUUUGGGUGAACAUAAAUACACAAUUUUUUUUUGACAUAUACCUUGAAGUGAAUUUACUGGUGUAUCAAUCCAUUUGCACACUACUAAAAAGAACUGCCUGAGACUGGGUAAUUUACAAAGGAAAGAGGUUUAAUUUAUGACUCAAAGUUUAGCAUGGCUGGGGAGGCCUCAGGAAACUUACAAUCAUGGCAGAAGGUGAAAGGUAGCAAGGCAACUUUCUCACAAGGCGGAAGGAAGGAGAAGUGCCAAGCAAAGGGGGAAGAGGCCCUUAUAAAACUAUCAGAUCCUGUGAGAACUAUCAUGAAAACAGCAUGUGGGAAACUGUCCUCAUGAUUCAAUUACCUCCCAUCUACUCCAAUGUUCUCUCUCUUGGCAUGUGGGGAUUCUCAGGAUUACAAUUCAAGAUGAGAUUUGGGUGGGGAUACAAAGCUUAACUACAUCAACUGGAUUGUUGCCAUUUGUCUGUUUAGGUUUAUUAGAUACUACCAAACCAUUUUCCAAAGUGGUUGCACCAAUUUUUACCCUUGCUGGUAGUGUAUAAAAUGUCUAAUGGCUCCAUAUUCCCACCAACUUCAGUAAUGUCUGUUGAUUUCUUUGUUUUGUUUUGUUCAGUUAAGCAAUUCUGGUGGGUGUGUAUUGAAGUUAUUGUGAUUUUAAUUGACGUCUAAUAGAAUUAAGCACCUUUUCAUAUAUUAUUGGUCUUUUUUCCUCUUUUAAGAAAUACCGCCCAGAUUGCAUUCUCUUCCUCUUCCUCUCCCAAAGAAAGAGAAAAAUUAUCAGCAAUGGCAAAUGGCAGUUGCAGCAAAGCAAUGCCAAGAGCCAGCUUCAUGCUCAGGAGAGAACAAUAUUGUGCCUCCUCAUGGUUUUCCAGUUUUUAGGCAUUCAGAGAAACUUCUCUCAUAAUGAUCCCUGAAAGAAUAGUCUUUGGAUAUCUACUAUUGGAAUUCCUCUGUUUUUAUUCUAUUAAUAUGUAGUAAUUACUUAUAUAUACAGGUUAUGAAUCCUAUAUUAAAUAUCUUUAUUGCAAAUAUCUUCUUCUAGGUAGUUUUCUUCUUGGCUCAUAGUGAUGCUUUAUUUGUG
rnacentral:lncRNA from 1 species